rnacentral:rRNA from 1 species
UACAGAGGGGGCAAGCGUUGUUCGGAAUUACUGGGCGUAAAGGGCGCGUAGGCGGCCUUCUAAGUCGAACGUGAAAUCCCUGGGCUCAACCCAGGAACUGCGUCCGAUACUGGAAGGCUUGAAUCCGGGAGAGGGAUGCGGAAUUCCAGGUGUAGCGGUGAAAUGCGUAGAUAUCGAGAGGAACACCUGCGGCGAAGGCGGGUUGCUGGGCUGAUACUGACGCUGAGGCGCGAAAGCCAGGGGAGCGAACGGG